GAUGAACGCUAGCGACAGGCUUAACACAUGCAAGUCGAGGGGCAGCGGGGUGUGGCAACACACUGCCGGCGACCGGCGCGCGGGUGAGUAACGCGUAUGCAACUUGCCUAUCAGAGGGGGAUAACCCGGCGAAAGUCGGACUAAUACCGCAUAAAACAGGGGUUCCGCAGGGGGAUAUCUGUGAAAGAUUCAUAGCUGAUAGAUAGGCAUGCGUUCCAUUAGGCAGUUGGCGGGGUAACGGCCAACCAAACCGACGGUGGAUAGGGGUUCUGAGAGGAAGGUCCCCCACAUUGGUACUGAGACACGGACCAAACUCCUACGGGAGGCAGCAGUGAGGAAUAUUGGUCAAUGGCCGGGAGGCUGAACCAGCCAAGUCGCGUGAAGGAUGAAGGUUCUAUGGAUUGUAAACUUCUUUUGUGCGGGAAUAAAGUCGGGGAUGCGUCCCCGUUUGCAUGUACCGUACGAAUAAGCAUCGGCUAACUCCGUGCCAGCCGCCGCCGUAA
rnacentral:rRNA from 1 species